GACAGAGGAUGCAAGCGUUAUCCGGAAUGAUUGGGCGUAAAGCGUCUGUAGGUGGCUUUUUAAGUCCGCCGUCAAAUCCCAGGGCUCAACCCUGGACAGGCGGUGGAAACUACCAAGCUGGAGUACGGUAGGGGCAGAGGGAAUUUCCGGUGGAGCGGUGAAAUGCGCAGAUAUCAGGAGGAACACCAAUGGCGAAGGCAGCGCGCUGGGACGGUACUGACGCUGAGACGCGAAAGCGUGGGGAGCAAACAGG
rnacentral:rRNA from 1 species